AGGUGAACCUGCGGAGGGAUCAUUACAAGUGACCCCGGUCUAACCACCGGGAUGUUCAUAACCCUUUGUUGUCCGACUCUGUUGCCUCCGGGGCGACCCUGCCUACGGGCGGGGGCUCCGGGUGGACACUUCAAACUCUUGCGUAACUUUGCAGUCUGAGUAAACUUAAUUAAUAAAUUAAAACUUUUAACAACGGAUCUCUUGGUUCUGG
rnacentral:misc_RNA from 1 species